rnacentral:rRNA from 1 species
UUGCCAGACUCCUACGGGAGGCAGCAGUGGGGAAUAUUGGGCAAUGGGCGCAAGCCUGACCCAGCAACGCCGCGUGAAGGAAGAAGGCUUUCGGGUUGUAAACUUCUUUUGACAGGGAAGAGUAGAAGACGGUACCUGUCGAAUAAGCCACGGCUAACUACGUGCCAGCAGCCGCGGUAAUACGUAGGUGGCAAGCGUUAUCCGGAUUUACUGGGUGUAAAGGGCGUGUAGGCGGGGAAGCAAGUCAGAUGUGAAAACCACGGGCUCAACCUGUGGCCUGCAUUUGAAACUGUUUUUCUUGAGUGCUGGAGAGGCAAUCGGAAUUCCGUGUGUAGCGGUGAAAUGCGUAGAUAUACGGAGGAACACCAGUGGCGAAGGCGGAUUGCUGGACAGUAACUGACGCUGAGGCGCGAAAGCGUGGGGAGCAAACAGGAUUAGAUACCCGUA